CAGAAACUUUAGAAAUGCAACGCAGUUUAUUCGUAAACUGAAUAUUAUAUUAUGGAUAAAUUUUCAGACGGAUUGCCGCUACUAAAUGAAAAAGGAAGGGCGAACAAUGAAGAUGAUGAGACCAUACCAGUACCUUACGAAUGCAGAGUCUGGCAUUCAUAUUAUUCUUACUUUAAAACUCAUGUUUCGUCUUUUGUCCUGCCAAAAAAAAAUAUUUGACACACGUUUUACGCUAA